CAGUAGCCACGGUAAUACGUAGGUGGCAAGCGUUGUCCGGAAUUAUUGGGCGUAAAGGGCUCGCAGGCGGUUUCUUAAGUCUGAUGUGUAAGCCCCCGGCUCAACCGGGGAGGGUCAUUGGAAACUGGGAAACUUGAGUGCAGAAGAGGAGAGUGGAAUUCCACGUGUAGCGGUGAAAUGCGUAGAGAUGUGGAGGAACACCAGUGGCGAAGGCGACUCUCUGGUCUGUAACUGACGCUGAGGAGCGAAAGCGUGGGGAGCGAACAGGAUUAGAUACCCGUGUAGUCCCUGUCUCUUAUAC
rnacentral:rRNA from 1 species